AGAGUUUGAUCCUGGCUCAGAUUGAACGCUGGCGGCAUGCCUUACACAUGCAAGUCGAACGGCAGCACGGGUGCUUGCACCUGGUGGCGAGUGGCGAACGGGUGAGUAAUGUAUCGGAACGUACCAUUCAGUGGGGGAUAACUAUCCGAAAGGAUAGCUAAUACCGCAUAUUCUGUGAGCAGGAAAGCAGGGGAUCGCAAGACCUUGCGCUGAUUGAGCGGCCGAUAUCAGAUUAGCUAGUUGGUGGGGUAAAAGCCUACCAAGGCGACGAUCUGUAGCGGGUCUGAGAGGAUGAUCCGCCACACUGGAACUGAGACACGGUCCAGACUCCUACGGGAGGCAGCAGUGGGGAAUUUUGGACAAUGGGCGAAAGCCUGAUCCAGCCAUGCCGCGUGAGUGAAGAAGGCCUUCGGGUUGUAAAGCUCUUUCGGCCGGGAAGAAAUCGCAUAGGUUAAUACCCUGUGUGGAUGACGGUACCGGAAUAAGAAGCACCGGCUAACUACGUGCCAGCAGCCGCGGUAAUACGUAGGGUGCGAGCGUUAAUCGGAAUUACUGGGCGUAAAGCGUGCGCAGGCGGUUUUUUAAGACAGGCGUGAAAUCCCCGGGCUUAACCUGGGAACUGCGCUUGUGACUGGAAGGCUAGAGUACGGCAGAGGGGGGUGGAAUUCCACGUGUAGCAGUGAAAUGCGUAGAGAUGUGGAGGAACACCGAUGGCGAAGGCAGCCCCCUGGGCCGAUACUGACGCUCAUGCACGAAAGCGUGGGGAGCAAACAGGGAUUAGAUACCCUGGGUAGUCCACGCCCCUAAACGAUGUCAACUAGGUGUUGGGUGGGUAAAACCAUUUAGUACCGGAGCUAACGCGUGAAGUUGACCGCCUGGGGAGUACGGCCGCAAGGUUAAAACUCAAAGGAAUUGACGG
rnacentral:rRNA from 1 species